rnacentral:lncRNA from 1 species
UACGUCGCCACGUAUUUUGGCGGCUGUGGCGGGAGAGUAGUCGGCUGCUGCUGCUGCUGCUGCGGUUGUGGCACUACAUUGUACAUCGGCGGCUGUUCCCGGUAAAUCUCAGACCCCAUUCGCUGCUGCACUUGGUAAUACCCUUGACCCGGUGGCCCGGUUACCGGUCGCACCAUCGGUGGCUGUGCGUGGUACACUGCCCCACCUCCGGGAGCGGAUGUAAACAUGUACAUCGGCUGUUCCGGAGCUCCCGUCCCCGGAAACCCCCCGCUUGUAACCUGCUUCUCCGGCCAGUAGCCAGCUGGCGGGGCAGCCGUCGCCGGAGGAGCCUUCUCCGGCAUCUUCUGUACGUAAUAAUCGCCGGCGCCGGUAUAGCCUCCCACGAGAUUGUCGUCGUUCUUUCUCCUGUACAUAGCUUGCUGAUCUUGUUCCCCGAUUUGUAGCCUCUGCAAUUGCCUCUGGAACUCCACCGAAGUCACCACUGGAUCCGAUCCGAUAACCCGGUCUAGGUGGCCCGAUCUGACAAACUCAGGAGGCGGCGCAACUUGUCCCGGUAUCGUAGGCGCUGGAGGAGGAGGAAGCGACACGACAGCAGGGACGCCACCCUUU